rnacentral:rRNA from 1 species
CGAACGUUGGCGGCGUGCUUACCACAUGCAAGUCGAACGGAAAGGCCCUGCUUUUGUGGGGUGCUCGAGUGGCGAACGGGUGAGUAACACGUGAGUAACCUGCCCUUGACUUUGGGAUAACUUCAGGAAACUGGGGCUAAUACCGGAUAGGAGCUCCUGCUGCAUGGUGGGGGUUGGAAAGUUUCGGCGGUUGGGGAUGGACUCGCGGCUUAUCAGCUUGUUGGUGGGGUAGUGGCUUACCAAGGCUUUGACGGGUAGCCGGCCUGAGAGGGUGACCGGCCACAUUGGGACUGGGAUACGGCCCAGACUCCUACGGGAGGCAGCAGUGGGGAAUAUUGCACAAUGGGCGGAAGCCUGAUGCAGCAACGCCGCGUGCGGGAUGACGGCCUUCGGGUUGUAAACCGCUUUCGCCUGUGACGAAGCGUGAGUGACGGUAAUGGGUAAAGAAGCACCGGCUAACUACGUG